UGGGGAAUUUUGCACAAUGGGCGCAAGCCUGAUGCAGCGACGCCGCGUGAGGGAUGAAGGCCUUCGGGUUGUAAACCUUUUUCGCUCAUGGUCAAGCCGCAGCUUUGGGUUGUGGUGAGGGUAGUGGGUAAAGAAGCGCCGGCUAACUACGUGCCAGCAGCCGCGGUAAUACGUAGGGCGCGAGCGUUGUCCGGAAUUAUUGGGCGGAAAGGGCUUGUAGGCGGUUGGCCGCGUCUGCCGUGAAAUCCUCUGGCUUAACUGGGGGCGUGCGGUGGGUACGGGUUGACUUGAGUGCGGUAGGGGGGACUGGAAUUUCUGGUGUAGCGGUGGAAUGCACAGAUAUCAGGAAGAACACCGAUGGCGAAGGCAGGUCUCUGGGUAGUAACUGACGCUGAGGAGCGAAAGCAUGGGUAGCGAACAGG
rnacentral:rRNA from 1 species